rnacentral:lncRNA from 1 species
UGCUUUGUUGUUGUUGGGGGGGAGGCUGGGCAUACUGAGGGGCGUAGGGAGGAGGGUACCCUUGGGGGUACCCCUGAGGUGGAGGGUAUCCCUGCGGUGGAUAUACCGGCGGUGGAUAAGCGUCUUUAGGAUAUCCUUCCGGUGGAUAACCUACUCCAAUUCCAAUUUACACAAACAAAAGUGGCAAAAACACAAAUCAGAACAAAAACCAAGUCACAAAAUUCAAAACUUCAUCAAACUACUUCGACUCUUUAUACAGAUCUAAAUAACAUUAAGAAAAAUCCCAAACAUGGAAAUCUACUUACCCUGAGGUGGAGGAACACCAACAGGGGGCUGCUGCUGGUUGUAGUAGCUCAUUGUUGUUGGCGGUGUUAAAAGUAAGAAAAAACAAAAAACCCAGAAAUUUUUUUUUGAAUUUUUAUCUUUUGUUCCAGGGGCUGUUGCUCUUUUGCCUC